UACGGAGGGUGCGAGCGUUGUCCGGAAUCACUGGGCGUAAAGCGCUCGCAGGUGGUUCGAUGCGUCGUGCGUGAAAGACCCCGGCUCAACUGGGGAGGGUCGUGCGAUACGGUCGAACUGGAGGCCAGUAGGGGGAUGCGGAAUUCCGGGUGUAGUGGUGGAAUGCGUAGAGAUCCGGAGGAACACCAGCGGCGAAGGCGGCAUCCUGGACUGGUCCUGACACUCAUGAGCGAAAGCGUGGGGAGCGAUCCGG
rnacentral:rRNA from 1 species